AAUAUGAGAUAUAAGAUACUUAAUUAUAAAUAAUUUGAAAUACAAGAUUUUCUCACUUUCCAGGUUUCGAAUUGUCAGACAGUGGAACUUCAGCCUUUGGACAUGGAUAUAUGGAAUUUGACAUGUGACUUGAUCUGUAGAAUGAUGAUUUACGAAAGUUCCAAUCUAUGACAAUUCUAGACCUGGAAGAUGAGGAGAUCUUGUUUCUUAAAUGAUCUACAAUUGAAUAUUUUAUAUCUCAUGUU